CCCCCCCCCUAUUUCCUCCAGGGGGGGGGGGGUCAAGAAGAUGGGGAUCAAGUCCUGAUGGCAGUGGGGUUGAGGCGUCCUUGGGGACCAUCCCCACCAUGUCCCCAUGUCCCCCCCCAGUCCCUCCUCACACCACGAUGGGGGGGGUCAGAGAAGAUGGGGGGCAGGUCCUGGUGGCAGUGGGGAUGAGGUGUCCUUGGGGACCAUCCCCACCAUGUCCCCCCAACCUUAUUCCACAAUGGAGGGGUCAGAAAAGAUCAGAGCCAGGUCCCAAAGUGGUGGUGGGGAUGGGGUGUCCUUGGGGACCAAGCCCACGGUGUGUCCCUGGGGGUUGUCCCCAUCAUGUGUCCCCCCCCUCACACCACGAUGGGGGUGGCGGAGAAGAUGAAGGCCAGGUCCUGGUGGCAGUGGGGAUGGGGUGUCCUUGGGGACCGUCCCCAUGAUGAUGUCCCCCCCCUUACACCACGGUGGGGGGUCAGAGAAGAUCAGAGCCAGAUCCCAGAGAGGGGGGGACAGUGUCCUUGGGGACCGUCCCCACCAUGUCCCCCUUCACCUUAUUCCACCAAGGGGGGUAUCAGAGAAGAUGGGAUCAGGUCCUGCUGGCAGUGGGGUUGAGGUGUCCUUGGGGAGCAUCCCCAUGAUGUCCCCCCCACCUUAUUCCACCAAGGGGGCUGUCAGAGAAGAUGGGGGCCAGCUCCUGAUGGCAGUAGGGUUGAGGUGUCCUUGGGGACCAUCCCCAUCAUGUCCCCGUGUCCCCCCCAGUCCCUCCUCACACCACGAUGAGGGGGGGUCAGAGAAGAUGGGGGCCAGAUCCUGGUGGCAGUGGGGUUGAGGUGUCCUUGGGGACCAUCCCUACU
rnacentral:lncRNA from 1 species